rnacentral:rRNA from 1 species
UCAACUUCUGAAAAGAGUAAUGUUCAAGAAAAUUAAAGUUUUUGGCGGUUAGAUCAACUUAGAGGAGCUCGCUUAUGAAUCGAAUUUACCCGUUGUAUCUUAUUUAUUAAAGCUUAUUUAUCUCCGUUAUUAAGCUUCCUGCUUACCAAAUUAAUCUAAAUUAUAUUUCAGG